rnacentral:rRNA from 1 species
UGCAGUCGAGCGAUGGAUUAGAAGCUUGCUCUUAUGACGUUAGCGGCGGACGGGUGAGUAACACGUGGGYAACCUGCCCGUAAGACUGGGAUAACUCCGGGAAACCGGGGCUAAUACCGGAUAAGAUUUUCUCCUUCAUGGGACAUGAUUGAAAGGUGGCUUCGGCUGUCACUUAUGGAUGGACCCGCGUCGCAUUAGCUAGUUGGUGAGGUAACGGCUCACCAAGGCAACGAUGCAUAGCCGACCUGAGAGGGUGAUCGGCCACACUGGGACUGAGACACGGCCCAGACUCCUACGGGAGGCAGCAGUAGGGAAUCUUCCGCAAUGGACGAAAGUCUGACGGAGCAACGCCGCGUGAGUGAUGAAGGCUUUCGGGUCGUAAAACUCUGUUGUUAGGGAAGAACAA